UACGUAGGGUGCGAGCGUUAAUCGGAAUUACUGGGCGUAAAGCGUGCGCAGGCGGUUUUGUAAGUCAGAUGUGAAAUCCCCGGGCUUAACCUGGGAACUGCGUUUGAAACUACAAGGCUAGAGUGUAGCAGAGGGGGGUGGAAUUCCGCGUGUAGCAGUGAAAUGCGUAGAGAUGCGGAGGAACACCGAUGGCGAAGGCAGCCCCCUGGGCUGACACUGACGCUCAGGCACGAAAGCGUGGGGAGCAAACAGG
rnacentral:rRNA from 1 species